UACGAAGGGGGCAAGCGUUGUUCGGAAUUACUGGGCGUAAAGGGCGCGUAGGUGGCGCUGUAAGUCGGGUGUGAAAUUUCGGAGCUUAACUCCGAAACUGCAUUCGAUACUGCGGUGCUUGAGGACUGGAGAGGAGACUGGAAUUCAUGGUGUAGCAGUGAAAUGCGUAGAGAUCAUGAGGAAGACCAGUGGCGAAGGCGGGUCUCUGGACAGUUCCUGACACUGAGGCACGAAGGCCAGGGGAGCAAACGGG
rnacentral:rRNA from 1 species